rnacentral:tRNA from 1 species
GGAGAGGUGGCAGAGUGGUCGAUUGCGUCUGACUUGAAAUCAGAUGAGCUGAAAGGCUCCGGGAGUUCGAAUCUCCCCUUCUCCG